rfam:Elusimicrobia bacterium RIFOXYB2_FTLL_48_7 rifoxyb2_full_scaffold_3864, whole genome shotgun sequence.
GGGGGUAUAAGCUAAUGGUAAACUGCUGGUCUCCAAAACCGGUUUUGAGGGUUCAAAUCCUUCUACCCCCG